rnacentral:rRNA from 1 species
UGGGGAAUCUUCCGCAAUGGACGAAAGUCUGACGGAGCAACGCCGCGUGAGUGAAGAAGGUCUUCGGAUUGUAAAGCUCUGUCGUUUGGGACGAACGUGGAUAGUGUGAAUAAUGCUAACUAAUGACGGUACCAAAGGAGGAAGCCACGGCUAACUACGUGCCAGCAGCCGCGGUAAUACGUAGGUGGCAAGCGUUGUCCGGAAUUAUUGGGCGUAAAGGGCGUGUAGGUGGAUUUUUAAGUCGUGUGUCUAAGUGCGGAGCUCAACUCCGUAUGGGCGCAGGAAACUGGAGAUCUUGAGUGCAGGAGAGGAAAGUGGAAUUCCCAGUGUAGCGGUGAAAUGCGUAGAUAUUGGGAGGAACACCAGUGGCGAAGGCGACUUUCUGGACUGUGUCUGACACUGAGGCGCGAAAGCCAGGGGAGCGAACG